AACAUUUUGAGCGAAUUAGAUUAUAAUCUAUAUUGUUAAGCCAUUCGUAUUUAAUCCUAGCCACUCAUUUGUCAUCUUUCUCUACAUAUGUACAAACGUGCAUAUAAAUGUCUAUAUGCAUAUAUAUAUGUAUACGUAUAUGUGUGUGCGCGCGCGUGUAGAAGUAGAUAGGUUAAAGAAAUGAGAAAUUACCAUGAGAAUUCCUUUUAUAUCCUCCAAUGAGAGAUCAAUUGGUGUUAAUUUCUCUUUCUUCAAUUGAAGCAAAAGAUCUUGUCCUUUGAAGUCGAUAUCACUAUUUAAGAAUCUCUCAGGCAUAAAUUCUUCUGGAUUUUCCCAUAUUUCAGGAUCUCUUGCAAUUGCCCAUGUGUUAACAUAAACUAUAGUUCUUGGUUGAAAUUCGUAGCCUUCUAGUGUGGAUAUUUUCAUUGAUUCUCUUGGUAUUAAGAGUGGAGCUGGUGGAAAUAAUCUUAAUGUCUCUUUUAUCACUGCUUUGAAAUAAGGCAUAUUUUGAAUAUCAUCUUCAUUUACAAUGCCUUUGUUCCCAAUUAAAUUUCUGAUCUCUUCUUGAACUCUCUUCACGGCUUUUGGAUUUUUGAUCAAGAUUGUCAUUGCCCAAAUUAUCACAGAUGCACUAGUGUCUGAUCCAGCAAGUAACACAUUCUACAUAAAAAUUGGCAAUUCAUGAGAAAUUUUCACGGCAAUAUUUAGCUGCAAUAAUAUAUAUAAUUAUCAUUAUAUUAUAUUUUCAGUGGCAAUAAUAAAUACAAAUAUUUAUAAUUAACAUUAGUUAAACUAUUGGGUUAAAACAAACAAAAGUUAAACUAGAUGGGUUAUUUUACCAUCCAAGCUCAAAUUUACAUGCAAAAUCAAAUUUAGGCUAGCUAACAAUUUAGGAAAAAUAAAUUAGCUUUCACAUUUUUUUCAAAAAAGAAUAAGAUAAGAGGUAGUGUUGUGUUGAGCGAAUUGAAUUAUGACCCGUCAUUUUCCUAUUUUAAUUCUAACACAUUUUGCCUCAAGAACAUUUUGAGCGAAUUAGAUUAUAAUCUAUAUUGUUAACUCAUUCAUAUUUAAUCCAAGCCACUGAUUUGUCAUCUUUCUCUACAUAUGUACAAAAUGAGGAGGAUAAGAGGGCAAAUGGGGAUAGAUAUAAGGUAACAAAGUUAGCUGUUAAAUGACAACAUAUGUGAACGUUUGUACAAAGAACUACAAGACAAAAGUGGAGAUAAAAAGUUGUACAUGAUGCGUCAAGGCAAGGGAAAUGUGGGAUCGAGAUCAAGAUAAGCUACAUAUAUAAAAUGCAUUCACAACCAAUGAAAUUGACUUAUUAUCAUUCAAUUACAGAAUAACCCUCAAAAGCCCAUUGUCAAAGCACAAAGAAACAAUCCUUUAUACGACAAAGUGAUUAAUUCGAGUCGAAAGCAAUUGAUGCCUUACCUCAAGAACUCCCCCUUAGAUUCACUUUGGGAUGUAAUUUAGAAAUAUUUUUUAGGGAUAAGGCAAAGGUCAUUUUUCUUAUUCAUUGUAAUUCCAGGUCUACCAUUUAUGUCAAUGUCCUCCUUUUUCAACCCAUAAGGUAACUCCCAAUCAAAUGCAUAAAGAAGAUUUGAUAAUGCAAGUUCCACAGAUGCAACCCCAAGUGCCAUGGCCGGACACCCUCUUCUUCCUGCUCCAAACGGAAUAAACUCAUAGUCUUGUCCCUUGAAGUCAAUAUCGCUAUUCAAGAAUCUCUCAGGCAUAAAUUCUUCUGGAUUUUCCCAUAUUUCAGGAUCUCUUGCAAUUGCCCAUGCGUUAACAUAAACUAUAGUUCUUGGUUGAAAUUCAUACCCUUCUAGUGUGGAUAUUUUAAUUGAUGCUCUUGGUAUUAAGAGUGGAGCUGGUGGAAAUAAUCUUAAAGUCUCUUUUAUCACUGCUUUGAAAUAAGGCAUAUUUUGAAUAUCAUCUUCAUUUUACAAUGUUUUUGUUCCCCAUUAAAUUUCUGAUCUCUUCUUGAACUUUCUUCAUGGCUUUUGGAUUCUUGAUCAAGAUUGUCAUGGCCCAUAUUAUCACAGAUGCACUAGUGUCUGAUCCAGCAACUAACACAUUCUACAUAAAAAUUGACAAUUCAUGAGAAAUUUUCAAGGCAAUAUUUAGCUGCAAUAAUAUAUAUAAUUAUAGUUAUAUAUAUUUUUAGUGGCAAUAAUAAAUACAAAUAUUAGUAAUUAACACGCUAUUAACAUUUGUUAAACUAUUGGGUUAAAACAGACAAAAGUAUAACUAGAUGGGUUAUAUUACCAUCCAAGCUCAUAUAUACAUGCAAAAUCAAAUUUAGGCUAGCUAACAAUUUAGGAAAAAUAAAUUAGCUUUCACAUUUUUUUCAAAAAACAAUAAGAUAAGAGGUUGUGUUGUGUUGAGCGAAUUGAAUUAUGACCCGUCAUUUUUCUAUCUUAAUUCUAAUACAUUUUGCCUCAAGAACAUUUUGAGCGAAUUAGAUUAUAAUCUAUAUUGUUAAGCCAUUCGUAUUUAAUCCUAGCCACUCAUUUGUCAUCUUUCUCUACAUAUGUACAAACGCACAUAUAAAUGUCUAUAUGCAUAUAUAUGUAUACGUAUGUGUGUGUGUGAGCGCGUGUAGAAGUAGAUAGGUUAAAGAAAUGGGAAAUUACCAUGAGAAUUCCUUUUAUAUCCUCCAAUGAGAGAUCAAUUGGUGUUAAUUUCUCUUUCUUCAAUUGAAGCAAAAGAUCUAUAAUAUCUCCUUCCAUGGAGUUUGGCCUAUUGGGAUUGUGAUGUUGUUCAAUUAGUUCUUCAUAAAAAUCAUCCAAAUCUUUGAAAUUCUUCUCAAGUCUAUCUGUCAAUCCAGUGAGUUUAUCAAUCCAACUUAAAGAUGGAAAAAAAUCAGACACAAAAAAGCUUGCCAACAUAGCUUCAGCUUCAACCAUAAUAUGAUCAAAUCUCUUCCUUUCAUGUGCUUCUUCAUCAAAUCUAACACCAAAAGCAACUCUACAAAUAAUUGUACUAUUAAGUGAAAUCAUCAAAUUGCUCAAAUUGGUGACUUGAGAAUUAACAGCUAGUUGAUAUACUUUCUUGAUCAUUCUUGAGACUUCAUCUUUUCGAAUCGGACCAAAUAAUUGCACUUUCUUGAGACUAAAUAGAUGAAGAACACAUAUUUUUCUCAUUUCUCUCCAAUAAUCAUUGUAAGGUGCAAAACCAAUAUCAUGACCAUUGUAAGAUAAUUUUUGUUGGCCAACAAGAGAAGGUCUACUACAAAAUACUAAAUCUUGCGUCUUGAGUACUGCUUUUGCUAAUUUUGCUGAAGAAACUACAACAAUUUGAACAGAAGCAAGUUUCAAUGAUAAUAUUUUUCCAUACAUUUUGGAAAGUUUCCAAAAAUAAAUAUGAGGAGUUAAACUAUCAAAUUGAUGCAAAUUUCCAAUGAAUGGAAGCCCUAUAGGACCUGGUGGAAGCUUAUUUUUUCUACCCCUUUUGACUUUAGGGAGAAGAAAGACGAGGCAAAUAGGAAUGACCACAAAGAGUAGAAAGAACAUCAUUUUAUUGUCUAAUUGCCUAGUCACUUGAUAUGCCUUUUAUAUAUAAAUGGUCUUUGGGAUAAAUUAUUUUUUUAGGAGCUUUAGUAACUUCUAUAUACUGACAAUAUAAAAGUAUUUCUAGAUCAUCAGGCCAUCAAAGAUAUAAUAACUAUAAGUAACUAUUCAUAACGAGAGGAACCAUUUACUAGGAAAUAAGAUCUACAAUUUGCUACAGAAUUUUUAAUUAAAUUAAUAGCGUAAAAAAUUGUUAUGCUAUUAAUAAAUUAGUUAUAUUAGUUAAUUUUUAAAUGAGUAAUUUUUUUUUUGUGAGAUAUCGAACCGUGAAAAUAGUCACUAUAGGAUAGACUAUUUACCUAUAAAGUGACAACACAAAAAUUAUAAAACCACUGAAGGUUGAAAAUGACCUUUAUCCUCUAGCAAUCAAUAUUAUUGGACCAUAUAAACAGUAAAAAUAUUAUGCGAUACACAAAAUUCUGAAUUUGCCUUUAAUUUUCAAGAUCUUUGUGUGCACAACUUAGAUAUCAAAGGUGAAUGAAUAGAUAUCUAGUAGGGAUAAUAGAACAUGUGGUUCUCAAUUAUUUAUAAAUUCGCCGUGUAUUAAAAGAGAUUUUUAGCGAAAUGUAAUAAAGUAUAUGAAUACAACUAACAUUUUGAAUUCUGCCAAUAAUUGGUGAUAUAUUGAAGGAACGUAACAUUAUUUUGAAGCAAUUAUAUUUAUAAGCACGAAAUAUGUUUAGAUAUCAUUCUAGUGGUAUUUCUAUAGUGAACUUAAUUAUAGAAAAUGGAUUACAAAAUGUAAAAAUUCUAGUUAACACAUGUGAUAUAACAAAUUCUUUGAAAAUUUCAAGGAAAGUUUAAAAUUCUGUAACAAACUUUUUAAGGGAUAAUAGUAUAAAUCUUCUUACGAUUUUGAACGUAGUAAACAUAACUAUUAUUUACGAUUACUCAAAAAAUAAAUUAUUGUUAUUAAGCUUAUAUUAUUCUUGAGAAAAUCAAAAGUCUCCCUAUACCCGACUAUUUUAAUGUUCCACAUUAUAUAUAUAAUUGUGAGAGUUAAAGAGAGAGAUAUAUCGAGCUUUUCAAGAUAAACCAAGAGAAUAUCUUGAAAAACUAUAUGAUAAUUAAAAACUGUAAUAUUAUAUGCUAAAUCGUCAUUUUAAGGAUGACGACUUAACAACUGCAUACAUAUGUAUUAUGGCGAUUUUUAAUAAUUGUGUAUUAAAACCGCCAUAAUGCUAUCACUUUUUGUAGUUCAUUAUUCCUAUCUAGUUAAGGUUAACUGAAUAGUACAUAAUUCGUGUUGAAAAGCAAUUGAUGAAUUCANNNNNNNNNNNNNNNNNNNNNNNNNNNNNNNNNNNNNNNNNNNNNNNNNNNNNNNNNNNNNNNNNNNNNNNNNNNNNNNNNNNNNNNNNNNNNNNNNNNNNNNNNNNNNNNNNNNNNNNNNNNNNNNNNNNNNNNNNNNNNNNNNNNNNNNNNNNNNNNNNNNNNNNNNNNNNNNNNNNNNNNNNNNNNNNNNNNNNNNNNNNNNNNNNNNNNNNNNNNNNNNNNNUCCAAGUGCCAAGCCUGGACAUCCUCUUCUUCCUGCUCCAAACGGAAUUAACUCAUAGUCUUGUCCUUUGAAGUCGAUAUCGCUAUUUAAGAAUCUCUCAGGCAUAAAUUCUUCUGGAUUUUCCCAUAUUUCAGGAUCUCUUGCAAUUGCCCAUGCGUUAACAUAAACUAUAGUUCUUGGUUGAAAUUCAUAGCCUUCUAGUGUGGAUAUUUUCAUUGAUUCUCUUGGUAUUAAGAGUGGAGCUGGUGGAAAUAAUCUUAAUGUCUCUUUUAUCACUGCUUUGAGAUAAGACAUAUUUUGAAUAUCAUCUUCAUUUACAAUGCCUUUGUUUCCAAUUAAAUUUCUUAUUUCUUCUUGAACUUUCUUCAUGGUUUUUGGAUUCUUGAUCAAGAUUGUCAUUGCCCAUACUACCACAGCUGCACUAGUGUCUGAUCCAGCAAUUAACACAUUCUACAUAAAAAUUGACAAUUCAUGAGAAAUUCUCAAGGCAAUAGUGGACACACGCUACAACAAAUAAAGAAUUUGUGACAAUAAUAUAAUUGUCAUUAUAUUAUAUUAGCAUCAAUAAUUGUCGUUAAAUGUCGCUAAGGGCUUUAGCAACUCUGAAUGCAAUGAGCAAUAGGAAAAUCAAUUAUCACGUAUAUGUGUGCGUGAGCGCGUGUAUAAAUAGAUAGGUUAAAGAAAUGGAAAAUUACCAUGAGAAUUCCUUUUAUAUCCUCCAAAGAGAGAUCAAUUGGUGUUAAUUGCUCUUUCUUCAAUUGUAGCAAAAGAUCUAUAAUAUCUCCUUCCAUGGAGUUUGGCCUAUUGGGAUUGUGAUGUUGUUCAAUUAGUUCUUCAUAAAACUCAUCCAAAUCUUUGAAAUUCUUCUCAAGCCUAUCGGUCAAUCCAGUGAGUUUAUCAAUCCAACUUAAAGAUGGAAAAAAAUCAGACACAAAAAAGCUUGCCAACAUAGCUUGAGCUUCAGCCAAAAUAUAAUUAAAUCUCUUCCUUUCAUGUGCUUCUUCAUCAAAUCUAACACCAAAACCAACUCUACAAAUAAUUGUACUAUUAAGUGAAAUCAUCAAAUUGCUCAAAUUGGUGACUUGAGAAUUAUCAACUUGUUGAUAUAUUUUGUUGAUCAUUCUUGAGAUUUCAUCUUCACGAAUCGGACUAAAUAAUUGCACUUUCUUGAGACUAAAUAAAUGAAGAACACAUAUUUUUCUCAUUUCUCUCCAAUAAUCAUUGUAAGGUGCAAAACCAAUAUCAUGACCAUUGUAAGACAAUUUUUGUUGGCCAACAAGAGAAGGUCUGCUACAAAACACUAAAUCUUGUGUCUUGAGUACUUCUUUUGCUAAUUUUGCUGAAGAAACUACAAUAAUUGAAACAUGAGAAGAAAGUUUGAAUGAGAAGAUUUUUCCAUAUUUCUUGGAAAGUUUCCAAAAAU
rnacentral:lncRNA from 1 species